rfam:Ktedonobacter racemifer DSM 44963 strain SOSP1-21 Krac_Contig204, whole genome shotgun sequence.
AGGAGCCGGAUGCGUUGAAAGGCGCAAGUCCGGUUUUGAAGACGAGCGGGAGGGGCGAUCCUCCUGCUUAGUUUAAC